rnacentral:lncRNA from 1 species
CCAGGUCAUCAGGGAAAUCGAUACCAUCAUCGGGGGACCCCACGUCGGUGGCAACACCAGGAAUGCCCAGAGAAAUUAUACAAGAGAAGCUAAGGGUCCCCCGAUGAUCACCUACAUUGUCGACGAAUCAAAAACAGCAAACAAGAUGGCCCCAAUCACCUUCUCGCAGGAAGACGCAGAGGGAGUUCACCAUCCCCAUUGCGACGCUCUGGUUGUAAGGGCCGUAGUGGCUAGAAACGGAUUAAGACGCAUGCUCGUUGACAACGGCAGCUCCGUGAACAUAUUGUUUGGCUCCACUUUUGACAAAAUGCAAAUUGAACAUGGGUUAAUCCCCAUGACCGACCCGCUGUUCGGAUUCACUGGGGACAGCAUCAUCCCACGAGGGCGGAUUACCCUGCCUGUGGAAAUGGGCUCGGCCCCCUUGGUCGCCCAGCAUUUCAUGGAAUUUCUGGUGGUAGAUCAUAGGUCAGCUUAUCAUGGGGUGUUGGGCAGACCGGCUCUAAAAGACCUUUGGGCUGUGACGUCCAUUCACUAUCUGUGCAUGAAAUUCCCAACCGAACGAGGGAUUGCAACGGUCCGGGGCGAUCAGAUGAGCUCUAGGGCAUGCUAUCUGAACUCGCUACGAAAAUCGGAGCCCCGGACUGUCAAUGUAAUUCAAGCAGUACCCGCUGAAACCGGUACGGAUGUGGAGAUGCUCGAUGCCCCUGAACAGGGGCAUACCUCUGAACAAGAGGAAGAUGUCAUAAUGGAAGAGGCUCCUGAACAAGGACACCCUCUUGACGAGUUAGAUCCCCGAAUAAUUGAUUAUGAACCAAACGCGACCCCAAUGGAAGAACUGGAAACUUUCCCAGUCAAUCCAGAAGACCCCAAUCAAGUCUUGCGCAUAGGGAAGUCAUUAUCGCCUGAAGCAAGAAUUGAGAUGAUACGAUUCCUGAAAGAAAACCUAGAUGUCUUCGCAUGGAAACAUGAGGAUAUGGUGGGGAUAGAUCCCAG